GUAGUGGUGGCUCAGUGGUAGAAUGUUCGCCUUCUGUGUGUGAGACCAGGGUUCAAUUCCCAGCCAGUGCA
rnacentral:tRNA from 1 species